rnacentral:lncRNA from 1 species
UUCCCAUGCAGAGAGAGCAAGAGCUGGGGAUGUUGAUGGACCCUGGGUAGAGCCUGGGAUGUUCCAAGAUCUGCCCUGUACAUCUGCCCUGUACCAUUCCCCUAUGGCAGGGGAAGCGGUGUGAUUGUCAUGAGACAGGCUAUAGCCUGUACAUCAGCAACAGUGUGGGAUGGUUCCAGAAGGGAGAGCACAGUGGUGCUGGUUUGAGACACAGAAAGGUGCCUGCUCAGCAAGAACAAAGAGGAAGAAAAAGGACUCGGGUGUGGAGGUGUGCCAGGUCUUGGCCCCACUAAGAAAAACCCCUUUUGCCUCAAGGUGCAGGUGCUGGUGAGACCACCACUGAUAUCCAGAGCUCCACAGGUGAGGACAAGCAUGAGGGUAUGCCGGUUGCAUGGGCACGUCCUUCUCCCUGCCCCUCCCCAUCACACCCCUCUGCCCUCACACCUUCUGUCUCCCGGCUCAUCAUGCCUGGCUCCCGCACACCCUCCCCACAGCCAUGGUGCUUGCAGUGGUGCCUAUAAUCCUCAUCCUCCUGGCUGCAGGCAGCUGGUUUGCCAUCAGGAAAUGUGCCUGCAGAGGGAGAUGCCCAAGGAAAGCAACACCAAAGGGCAUAAGCUUCAUGACCCCUCCUCAGCACAUGCACAUCCCAGAACCAUUCCAUUCCUCUCCAGGCAGCAACAAGUUGACAGCCCGCAGACGGAAGACGCCAGCUAUGGUGACAUCCAGUGUGAGUACUACCUCCUCCCUUGGGGGAAGCCACAUGCUCCUCUUCCCAUGAGAAUCCUGUGCGAGCCCCCAUGCAAUCCCACCCCUUCAUUUCCCACUGGGACAUACAAAAUCCCUGCCCGUUCAUCAAGGCCAGGUUUCUCUCCAGCACCUCAUGUCCCGCUUCUUCCUUGAAUGCUGAUCGUGGCUGCUGGCUGCACAAGGGACAUGGCAGCAUCCCA